rnacentral:rRNA from 1 species
CACCGCCCGUCACAUCACGAAAGUGGGGUUGUACUAGAAGUCUACAGGCUAACCCCGCAAGGGGAGGCAGUGGCCCAAGGUAUGACUCAUGAUUGGGGUG